GAUCCCCUGCGGGGUUGGUGAUGAUGCUGAAAUUCUUUGAGCCAACAGCGAAAAAACGGGAGCUGUCCCUUAUUGCGGCUGGCAGGGCCUGAUCCUUCGGGAAUACAGGAAAGCCAAAAACAAUAAUAUGGCACCCACCUAGAUAUCCUAGGUUCAAAAAGAAGGCAUCACACGGCUUUCGCGGGGGAUUC
rnacentral:other from 1 species